CUCGUAGUUGGACCUGUGUUCCACGCUGUCGGUUCGCCGCCCGUCGGUGUCAACUGGCAUGUCCUGUGGAACGUCCUGCCGGUGGCGGUCCGGGCUUUCGGCUUGCGUAAGGGCUCACGCCCGAAGCAGGCCGAACAGUACCGGCCGCCGGUCCAAUCCCGCCACGGUGCUCUUCACCGAGUGUCGAGGUGGGCCGGCACGUUUACUUUGAACAAAUUAGAGUGCUUAAAGCAGGCUGGUGUCCGCCUGAAUACUGUGUGCAUGGAAUAAUAGAAUAGGACCUCGGUUCUAUUUUGUUGGUUUUCGGAACCCGAGGUAAUGAUUAAUAGGGACAGGCGGGGGCAUUCGUAUUGCGACGUUAGAGGUGAAAUUCUUGGAUCGUCGCAAGACGAACCUAAGCGAAAGCAUUUGCCAAGUAUGUUCUCGUUAAUCAAGAACGAAAGUUAGAGGUUCGAAGGCGAUCAGAUACCGCCCUAGUUCUAACCAUAAACGAUGCCAGCCAGCGAUCCGCCGAAGUUCCUCCGAUGACUCGGCGGGCAGCUUCCGGGAAACCAAAGCUUUUGGGUUCCGGGGGAAGUAUGGUUGCAAAGCUGAAACUUAAAGGAAUUGACGGAAGGGCACCACCAGGAGUGGAGCCUGCGGCUUAAUUUGACUCAACACGGGAAACCUCACCAGGCCCGGACACCGGAAGGAUUGACAGAUUGAGAGCUCUUUCUUGAUUCGGUGGGUGGUGGUGCAUGGCCGUUCUUAGUUGGUGGAGCGAUUUGUCUGGUUAAUUCCGAUAACGAACGAGACUCUAGCCUGCUAACUAGGCGAUUCCGGUACCCACAAUAGUGUUACCGGCGAUUCAAUUUCUUCUUAGAGGGACAGGCGGCUCCUAGCCGCACGAGACUGAGCAAUAACAGGUCUGUGAUGCCCUUAGAUGUCCUGGGCCGCACGCGCGCUACACUGAAGGAAUCAGCGUGUCUUCCCUGGCCGACAGGCCCGGGUAACCCGUUGAACCUCCUUCGUGCUAGGGAUUGGGGCUUGCAAUUGUUCCCCAUGAACGAGGAAUUCCCAGUAAGCGCGAGUCAUAAGCUCGCGUUGAUUACGUCCCUGCCCUUUGUACACACCGCCCGUCGCUACUACCGAUUGAAUGAUUUAGUGAGGUCUUCGGACUGGUGCGCGGCGAUCGGCUUUUACUGCCGGCCGCCGAUGUUGCCGGAAAGAUGACCAAACUUGAUCAUUUAGAGGAAGUAAAAGUCGUAACAAGGUUUCC
rnacentral:rRNA from 2 species